GACGUAGGGCGCGAGCGUUUGUCCGGAUUUAUUGGGCGUAAAGAGCUCGUAGGCGGUCUGUCGCGUCGGUCGUGAAAACUUGGGGCUUAACCCUGAGCUUGCGGUCGAUACGGGCAUGACUGGAGUUCGGUAGGGGAGACUGGAAUUCCUGGUGUAGCGGUGAAAUGCGCAGAUAUCAGGAGGAACACCGGUGGCGAAGGCGGGUCUCUGGGCCGAUACUGACGCUGAGGAGCGAAAGCGUGGGGAGCGAACAGG
rnacentral:rRNA from 1 species